GCCCGCAUGGCGGAAUUUGGCAGACGCGGGGGAAUUGGACUCCCCUGGAGCGCCCUAACCCGGCACCGUGCGAGUUCGAGUCUCGCUGCGGGUA
rnacentral:tRNA from 1 species